rnacentral:rRNA from 1 species
AGUGAACGCUGGCGGUAGGCCUAACACAUGCAAGUCGAACGGCAGCACAGUAAGAGCUUGCUCUUACGGGUGGCGAGUGGCGGACGGGUGAGGAAUACAUCGGAAUCUACUUUUUCGUGGGGGAUAACGUAGGGAAACUUACGCUAAUACCGCAUACGACCUACGGGUGAAAGCAGGGGAUCUUCGGACCUUGCGCGAUUGAAUGAGCCGAUGUCGGAUUAGCUAGUUGGCGGGGUAAAGGCCCACCAAGGCGACGAUCCGUAGCUGGUCUGAGAGGAUGAUCAGCUACGCUGGAACUGAGACACGGUCCAGACUCCUACGGGAGGCAGCAGUGGGGAAUAUUGGACAAUGGGCGCAAGCCUGAUCCAGCCAUACCGCGUGGGUGAAGAAGGCCUUCGGGUUGUAAAGCCCUUUUGUUGGGAAAGAAAAGCAGCAGGUUAAUACCCCGCUGUUCUGACGGUACCCAAAGAAUAAGCACCGGCUAACUUCGUG